rnacentral:rRNA from 1 species
UACGAGGGGAGCUAGCGUUAUUCGGAAUUACUGGGCGUAAAGCGCACGUAGGCGGCUUUGUAAGUUAGAGGUGAAAGCCCAGGGCUCAACCCUGGAAUUGCCUUUAAGACUGCAUCGCUUGAACAUCGGAGAGGUAAGUGGAAUUCCGAGUGUAGAGGUGAAAUUCGUAGAUAUUCGGAAGAACACCAGUGGCGAAGGCGACUUACUGGACGAUUGUUGACGCUGAGGUGCGAAAGCGUGGGGAGCAAACAGG